GAAGAAGGCUGCUACCUAGUGACGAUGAGCAGUUUCUGCUGCUGCCAUGACUCAAGUGGAGUAGCGAACCCCUCUGAUGCCGCCGUUUCGCGUGAAACGCUACAGCACCAAGAUUUGCCAUUGAUUCUCCUGCAUGGCAGUGGUGCUUUCGGGCGCUGUUGCUGCAUCUCUGUGGAAGGAAAAUGGCGAUGGUCCCAGGGUGGCGUGCUAGCAUUGAUCGGUGAUUGUUAUCAUUUUUUCAAUGUUUCCUUGUUUUUUUUUUUUUCGGCGCUGGUGGUUUUGCCCAGUGAAUGUGGUGGCGUGAUUUUUGGAGAAGCAACUGGUUAAGGUUGGUGUUACAACCCAAAUUUUUCCAGUAAAAUUCAACUGUUGACUAGUUAAAGUUAAAGUCAAUUAAAGACCUAAACUACUGAACGUGACGUCUCGGCAUAAUAUGGACCAUACUCUUUUUCAUAGCCUUGAGCCCAGAAGAAAAGGG
rnacentral:lncRNA from 1 species